rnacentral:lncRNA from 1 species
GGAAACCAGAAAAGACUGCUCCCUGCACACACAUCUCGGGCGCCAGAGGAAAAAGCCAAAGACCAUCUGGAACCCUGGUGCACUGAAGCUCCCGGAAGGGGCGGCACAGGUCUUCCUGGUUGCUGCCGCUGCAGAGAGCCCCUGGGCAGCACCCCACGAGCGAACCUGAGCCUCGGGACCACAGGUCUCUGAUGGACUAGAGGCGCCAGAGUUCUGCUCCCCUCCCCCGAGAGCGCUGGGUCUCAGGAGUGCUGGAGGUGUGCGAGAAUACCGAAGAUAAAGUCCAUAGAACUCAAAAAGGUCAACAAGCUGAGGGACGCAAGGGCCCUCAGUGGCACUUGGGAGGGAGAAGAGAGCAACCAUAAGGGGGCUGGAGAGAUGGCUCAGCGGUUAAGAGCACCCGACUACUCUUCCAGAGGUCCUGAGUUCAAUUCCCAGCAACCACAUGGUGGCUCACAACCAUCUGUAAGGAGAUCUGAUGCCCUCUUCUGGUCCAACUGUGCAAGGGUAGCACAUCCCACAGUGAUCUGGGACUUCCAACAUCAAUCAUCAGUCAAGAAAAUUCCCUACAGACCAAGCUGAAAGGAAGUGUUUUUUCUUAUUAUUGCUUUCAAACAUAUGAUUAAGUGAAAUAAAAUUAAAAAGAUGUUUUCCCUGUUUUCCCUCUUUCUUUCCGGAACUCCGAAUAAGUGCCGCCUCCCUUUAGCCCUCAAAUAUCAUUCUUCCUGAUAAUUGAGAGACUUUAUUCUUUUGGUUUAAUUAUUAUUCGUGUGUGUGUGUGUGUGUGUGUGUGUGUGUACACAUAUAUACUUACAACCU